AUUGAACGCUGGCGGCAUGCCUUACACAUGCAAGUCGAACGGCAGCACGGGUGCUUGCACCUGGUGGCGAGUGGCGAACGGGUGAGUAUUACAUCUGAACAUGUCCUGUAGGGGGGGAUAGCCCGGAGACAGCCGGAUUAAUACCGCAUACGAUCCUCGGAUGAAAGCGGGGGCCCUUCGGGCUUCGCGUUCUUGGGUGUGCCGGUGGCUGAUUAGCUAGUUGGUGGGGUAAAGGCCUAGCAAGGCGACGAUCAGUAGAUGGUCUGAGAGGACGACCAGCCACACUGGGACUGAGACACGGCCCAGACUCCUACGGGAGGCAGCAGUGGGGAAUUUUGGACAAUGGGCGAAAGCCUGAUCCAGCAAUGCCGCGUGUGUGAAGAAGGCCUUCGGGUUGUAAAGCACUUUUGUCCGGAAAGAAAUCCUUGACUCUAAUACAGUCGGGGGAUGACGGUACCGGAAGAGUAAGCACCGGCUAACUACGUG
rnacentral:rRNA from 1 species